GGAGCUACUGACUUAGAAAUACAGAUUCUUCAGUGGUGAUGGCCUGCUGCACCCAGCAGAGUUGGAGUGAACCUACUGUCAGACAGUGGCGUACCGUGGGGUUUCAGUCAGGGCCUUCAAUUCUUCAGUGCUGAUGGCCUGCUGCACCCAGCAGAGUCAGUGUGAACUCCUGUAAGACAACAUCACCAAGAUGCUAUAAACCGCAGGAUUAGUAAGUAAAGUCUCGAACAUACACACUGUUUCAUAAGUUUGGGUUGGUAUGAUUAUUUUGUUUUUUUUAUGUUUUUGAAAGUCUCUUAUGCCAACCACAGUUUAAUGUAUGAAAUUAUUACAAUUUACUACAAUUUAAAAUAACUGUUUUCUAUUUGAAUAUAUUUGGAGAGAUAAU